rnacentral:lncRNA from 1 species
GAUAACUUCAGGAAGUGGGUAUUAAUUCUCACUGUAUAAAUGAAGACAUUAAGCACCAGAGUUUAAGUAGUUUGAUCCACUGAAAGAGCUUCAACUGUGUGGCACCUAUGGCGAGGAGAGUUGCUUUCUGCCAUUGUUGUCCAGCAGUUGCCGAAUAGCUCUGACCUGAGCAAAGCAGUGAAACGCGGUGCUGUUGAGUGGGUUGCCACUGCAC